UUUUAUGGAGAGUUUGAUCCUGGCUCAGGAUGAACGCUGGCGGCGUGCCUAAUACAUGCAAGUCGAGCGAACGGACGAGAAGCUUGCUUCUCUGAUGUUAGCGGCGGACGGGUGAGUAACACGUGGAUAACCUACCUAUAAGACUGGGAUAACUUCGGGAAACCGGAGCUAAUACCGGAUAAUAUUUUGAACCGCAUGGUUCAAAAGUGAAAGACGGUCUUGCUGUCACUUAUAGAUGGAUCCGCGCUGCAUUAGCUAGUUGGUAAGGUAACGGCUUACCAAGGCAACGAUGCAUAGCCGACCUGAGAGGGUGAUCGGCCACACUGGAACUGAGACACGGUCCAGACUCCUACGGGAGGCAGCAGUAGGGAAUCUUCCGCAAUGGGCGAAAGCCUGACGGAGCAACGCCGCGUGAGUGAUGAAGGUCUUCGGAUCGUAAAACUCUGUUA
rnacentral:rRNA from 1 species